rnacentral:misc_RNA from 1 species
AACGCAUAUUGCACUCUUUGGUAUUCCGAAGAGUAUGCCUGUUUGAGGGUAAUUAAAAAGAAAUCUUUAAUCUCUUUUGAGGUUAAAGGAUAUGGGUAUUCCGCUAAUAAUUUUUGGCGGUGACCUGAAAUAGAUGGUAGUCUUCAUCUAGUCGAGACGCGUAAUAAUAUUAUUUCGUGAAACGGCUAAUGAGCUAUCCAGUUUUAAUGGCCUUAAUAUAAGAACAUUGAAACAAAUAAUUUUUGACAUUACCUCAAAUCAGGUAGGAUUACCCGCUGAACUUAA